rnacentral:rRNA from 1 species
UUUAUGGAGAGUUUGAUCCUGGCUCAGGAUGAACGCUGGCGGCGUGCCUAAUACAUGCAAGUCGAGCGAACGGACGAGAAGCUUGCUUCUCUGAUGUUAGCGGCGGACGGGUGAGUAACACGUGGAUAACCUACCUAUAAGACUGGGAUAACUUCGGGAAACCGGAGCUAAUACCGGAUGAUAUUUUGAACCGCAUGGUUCAAAAGUGAAAGACGGUCUUGCUGUCACUUAUAGAUGGAUCCGCGCUGCAUUAGCUAGUUGGUAAGGUAACGGCUUACCAAGGCAACGAUGCAUAGCCGACCUGAGAGGGUGAUCGGCCACACUGGAACUGAGACACGGUCCAGACUCCUACGGGAGGCAGCAGUAGGGAAUCUUCCGCAAUGGGCGAAAGCCUGACGGAGCAACGCCGCGUGAGUGAUGAAGGUCUUCGGAUCGUAAAACUCUGUUAUUAGGGAAGAACAUAUGUGUAAGUAACUGUGCACAUCUUGACGGUACCUAAUCAGAAAGCCACGGCUAACUACGUGCCAGCAGCCGCGGUAAUACGUAGGUGGCAAGCGUUAUCCGGAAUUAUUGGGCGUAAAGCGCGCGUAGGCGGUUUUUUAAGUCUGAUGUGAAAGCCCACGGCUCAACCGUGGAGGGUCAUUGGAAACUGGAAAACUUGAGUGCAGAAGAGGAAAGUGGAAUUCCAUGUGUAGUGGUGAAAUGCGCAGAGAUAUGGAGGAACACCAGUGGCGAAGGCGACUUUCUGGUCUGUAACUGACGCUGAUGUGCGAAAGCGUGGGGAUCAAACAGGAUUAGAUACCCUGGUAGUCCACGCCGUAAACGAUGAGUGCUAAGUGUUAGGGGGUUUCCGCCCCUUAGUGCUGCAGCUAACGCAUUAAGCACUCCGCCUGGGGAGUACGACCGCAAGGUUGAAACUCAAAGGAAUUGACGGGGACCCGCACAAGCGGUGGAGCAUGUGGUUUAAUUCGAAGCAACGCGAAGAACCUUACCAAAUCUUGACAUCCUUUGACAACUCUAGAGAUAGAGCCUUCCCCUUCGGGGGACAAAGUGACAGGUGGUGCAUGGUUGUCGUCAGCUCGUGUCGUGAGAUGUUGGGUUAAGUCCCGCAACGAGCGCAACCCUUAAGCUUAGUUGCCAUCAUUAAGUUGGGCACUCUAAGUUGACUGCCGGUGACAAACCGGAGGAAGGUGGGGAUGACGUCAAAUCAUCAUGCCCCUUAUGAUUUGGGCUACACACGUGCUACAAUGGACAAUACAAAGGGCAGCGAAACCGCGAGGUCAAGCAAAUCCCAUAAAGUUGUUCUCAGUUCGGAUUGUAGUCUGCAACUCGACUACAUGAAGCUGGAAUCGCUAGUAAUCGUAGAUCAGCAUGCUACGGUGAAUACGUUCCCGGGUCUUGUACACACCGCCCGUCACACCACGAGAGUUUGUAACACCCGAAGCCGGUGGAGUAACCUUUUAGGAGCUAGCCGUCGAAGGUGGGACAAAUGAUUGGGGUGAAGUCGUAACAAGGUAGCCGUAUCGGAAGGUGCGGCUGGAUCACCUCCUUUCU